AGCCUCCUGGUGCUGACCACAAGCUGUCCUCUUACACUGACUGUAUAGAAAGAGGAGGGAAAGUCCACCUGCCCCAUGCACACCGCAGCCCAGGCCCUGUGCCUGGUCUCUAUUGUGAAUGGGGAGACAUGG
rnacentral:snoRNA from 1 species